rnacentral:lncRNA from 1 species
UUUUUUUUUUUUUUUUUUUUUUUUGAGACAGGGUUUCUCUGUGUAGCCCUGGCUGGCCGUGAACUCAGAAAUCUGCCUGCAUCUGCCUCCCAAGUGCUGGGAUUAAAGGAGUGUGCCACCACCACCGGCCUGAAUUACUUUUAAAGAGUUUACCACAACUAGACCAGGAGAUGUUAUUCAUAGUGGACAUUGUCCUCACUUAUAUAAGAAUAACAUAUCUAUUCUUUUAAAUAUGAUAAAUACAUAUUUGAAUUUUCAUAUGGACAUGAACAUGAAGAUGAUUUAAAAGAUAUUUUUAUCCAGUAAAGCCUCAUUAAAAACAAAUAAAUGCAUAAUGAUUAAAAGGUCCAACACAUCCCAGUGUGUGAAUAUACAGGAGAAGUCUUACAAAGGUCAAAGCAUGGCAAAAAUUAUUCCUGAAUACACCCAAAGUGUACUUUACCAAGCUAACUUCAGGAAUACACGUGUUGAGUCAUCAAACAUAAACAGUCAUCAAAAUGGAAACACCAGAGGACCUUGCAAACAUAAAAACUGUAUAAACUGUUUAAAUUUGUGUUCUAUCACUGGUCUACAUCAAGGAAUCCACAUAGGAAAGAAAGAGCACAAUGGUAUAGUGCUUGAUAAAGUUUUUAACUCUACACAAAUACUCAGGCUGAAACAAACCAAUAGUGGAAAGAAACCUUACAAAUUGAACGUGCCAGAUGUUUCACCAAGAAAUGCAAGCUUAGACAACAUCAGAGAAUCCAUACAGGAGAGAAACCUUACAGAUGUAGUGAAUGUGACAAAUGCUUUUUUCACAAAUACAGUCUUAAUAUUCAUCAGAGAAUUCAUACUGGAGAGAAACCUUAUAAAUGUAGUGAGUGUGACAAAUGCUGUAACAACAAACACAGUCCUAGUAGUCAUCAGAUAAUUCAUACAAGAAAGAAGCCUUACAAAUGUAGUAAAUGUGACAAAUGCUUCACUCACAAAUAUGAUCUUAUGAUUCAUUAGAGAAUUCAUACAGGAGAGAAACCUCAUGAGAAAAGAUUUUUACCUGAAAAUUAGUUCUAAGAAAAUAUCUAGAAAUUUAUAGUGAGGAAAGGGUGGGGGUGGGGGGAUGGGUAAUUUCUACUGGAAAACAUGUGGCAUGUAUUUUACUAAAGUGGAAUUCUUUGCAACACUUGAG